UACGUAGGGGGCAAGCGUUGUUCGGAAUUACUGGGCGUAAAGGGCGCGUAGGCGGCAUGGCAAGUCGGGAGUGAAAGCCCGGGGCUCAACCCCGGAGGGUCUCUCGAAACUGCCAAGCUAGAGUGCGGAAGAGGCAACUGGAAUUCCCAGUGUAGCGGUGAAAUGCGUAGAUAUCUGGAGGAACACCGGUGGCGAAGGCGACAUCCUGGACCGGUAUUGACGCUGAGGCGCGAAAGCCAGGGGAGCAAACGGG
rnacentral:rRNA from 1 species